UGUCAGGAAACCGGGCUGAUGCAAUGUGCUUGGAGCCUUUCGAGUGAAAGAGAGCCGAGAUUGCAUCAGGUGCUGCUGCGCGAGGGCCUCGGGAGGAGGGAGCCUGCAGGGAGGCAUGGGGUCGGUUUGGCAGUGAUGCCCGGCUCCUGCUAGAGAAUGAAGCCAGUAUCUGUGCUUUCCAAGGGGAGGACAUCCCACAAAUGGGGUGCCACCACUUAGAAGCCUAUCUGAUAUGUUCCCAUUGCAGAACAAAGAAGGACCACUCUGCCAGACCUCUAUUCUCAGGCAGGCGUAUAUGGAGGAGGCAUCAAGAUCCUAAGCUCAUUAGGACUUUUUAAAAGAGUUAUACUCAACAUGUCUACUGUUAUUCUUUCCUAUGUAUUAUGAUUUGUCUUUACUUUGUUGAUUUAAUUCUCCCGUAUUGUUAUGUGCCUACUUUUAUUUAUAUUGUGUUCCUGUUGUAAGCUACUCCAAGUCCCCUCGGCGAGAGGGGGUGGGAUAUAAAUAAAGCUUUAUUAUAAUUAUUAUAAUUAUUAAAUGUUAUAACAAGCACCACAGAUUCUGACGAGUAUCAUAUUAUAAGGCUAGUACAAUAUCAUUAAAUUGGUGUU
rnacentral:lncRNA from 11 species